UACGGGGGGGGCAAGCGUUGUUCGGAAUUACUGGGCGUAAAGGGCUCGUAGGUGGCCAACUAAGUCAGACGUGAAGUCCCUCGGCUUAACCGGGGAACUGCGUCUGAUACUGGAUGGCUUGAGUUUGGGAGAGGGAUGCGGAAUUCCAGGUGUAGCGGUGAAAUGCGUAGAUAUCUGGAGGAACACCGGUGGCGAAGGCGGCAUCCUGGACCAACACUGACACUGAGGAGCGAAAGCCAGGGGAGCAAACGGG
rnacentral:rRNA from 1 species